rnacentral:lncRNA from 1 species
GAGUGGGCCUUGGAGUCGGCGCGCAGGCGGCUCGCGAAGGAAGUGAUCCUUUCUCUACAUGGGCCUCACCUUGGGGAGGACAAUGGUGUCUUUGAAGUUGUAGUAACUGAAGUAGAGAUCAAAAGGCAAUGCAGAUAGACUGACAGAUUUCGCCUGAAGAGGGGAAGCCCGACCAGUUGUGAAAUGUGCUCGCAGGAGGCUUUUCAGGCACAGAGGAGCCAGCUGGUCGAGCUGCUGGUCUCAGGGUCCCUGGAAGGCUUCGAGAGUGUCCUGGACUGGCUGCUGUCCUGGGAGGUCCUCUCCUGGGAGGACUACGAGGGCUUCCACCUCCUGGGCCAGCCUCUCUCCCACUUGGCCAGGCGCCUUCUGGACACCGUCUGGAAUAAGGGUACUUGGGCCUGUCAGAAGCUCAUCGCGGCUGCCCAAGAAGCCCAGGCCGACAGCCAGUCCCCCAAGCUGCAUGGCUGCUGGGACCCCCACUCGCUCCACCCAGCCCGAGACCUGCAGAGUCACCGGCCAGCCAUUGUCAGGAGGCUCCACAGCCAUGUGGAGAACAUGCUGGACCUGGCAUGGGAGCGGGGUUUCGUCAGCCAGUAUGAAUGUGAUGAAAUCAGGUUGCCG